AUAAGAUGGCGGCAGUUUUACUUCCUGUGUAGGAACGAAAGAAAUGUCCUAGUUCUGUUGUCGCAAACGCACCAACGUUAUAGCCUUCACUAACUAGCUGUCCUUAUCUUCAUUUGAGAAAUAUGGGGUCUUUAUUUAGCAAAAAGAAAGAACCUGAAAAACCAAAGAUCACUGAACAGGAUAAAGCAAUUCUGGCAUUGAAACAGCAGAGGGACAAGCUGAAGCAAUACCAGAAAAAG